AUUGAACGCUGGCGGCAGGCCUAACACAUGCAAGUCGAACGAGUGGCGGACGGGUGAGUAAUGUCUGGGAAACUGCCUGAUGGAGGGGGAUAACUACUGGAAAGGGUAGCUAAUACCGCAUACCAUCGGGUGGGCCCAGAUGGGAUUAGAUAGUAGGUGGGGUAAAGGCUCCCAUCGGCGACGAACCCUAGCUGGUCUGAGCGGAUGACCAGCAACAUUGGAACUGAUACACGGUCCAGACGCCUACGGGAGGCAGCAGUGGGGAAUAUUGCACAAUGGGCGCAACCCUGAUGCAGCCAUGCCGCGUGUAUGAAGAAGGCCUUCGGGUUGUAAAGUACUUUCAGCGGGGAGGCGUUACCCGCAGAAGAAGCACCGGCUAACUCCGUGCCAGCAGCCGCGGUAAUAG
rnacentral:rRNA from 1 species